rnacentral:rRNA from 1 species
GGCCACGCCUGUCUGAGGGUCGGUUAUACGUGUAACAUGAUGGUUGCGUUCUCG